rfam:Strigamia maritima strain Brora ctg7180001232892, whole genome shotgun sequence.
UUUACUAAAUAAAAUGGUCCGUAACAAGGCCUCAUUACAUAGUAUCUGUUCCUAUCAGCUUAAUAUCUGAUAUGGUUCCUAAAUGGAAUCUUCGAUAUUGAAUAGAUUUUUGGAUCUAGGCAAGAGCUAGAAGCUUGCUUCUACCUUGCCAUGAGUCAUCUCAGUUUUGCACUCUCUCUGAGUUUGGCUCUCACAAA